rnacentral:lncRNA from 1 species
GACAUCAGAGAUAUAUGUCCACAGAAAAAAGACCAUGUGAGGAGAUAGCAAGAAUACCCUAUCUGCAAGCCAUGGAGAGGUCUCAGCAGAAACCAAAACUGCCAACAACUUAAUCUUGGACUUCUAUCCUCUAUAAAUGAAAGGUGAGGAGCCAAGAUGUCCCACUAGAUGCAGCCAAGGAGAGCUUCUCCAAUGGAAAGAGACCAGACCAUCAAGUAGACUGGCAUAUUCUGAAAAGAUCUCUGGAAAGAAGGCAUAGAGACUGGACAGAGGGAAGUUUCAAGCCCUGGGCUGAAAGAGGAGGAAUUUGGGAACCCUGCAUGGGAUUGCCUAGCACAAAGACUUGUUCCUGGCUCUAAGGUGAAGGGCCUACUCAACGUGAAGAUGAUGAGAAUGAAGACCUUUAUGAUGAUCUGCUUCCACUUAAAGAAUAGUAGGUAUUUGGCUGACUCCUGGACUAUGCAAGCACAAGAAGAGAUUUCAGAAGGUUUGGAAGAGAGUCUCUUCUGAGAGGCUGAGGGCUAAGAAGACUGCCCUGUGCAGGAAAGAUGUUGGAGUGCAAGCCCAUCUGGAAUGGAGAGACCUCGAUGAAACACAUAGGCAAUUAAUUAGAUCCCAGAAAGGCCACACUGUGCAAGCCCAUCAUGAUCUGAAGGCAGCGGUGGUUGCUGGUGGAGGAUGUGAGCUUUGGAACUGGAGCUCUUUGAUUCAAAGCUCUGCCGCUUACUCACUGGAUAAGACCAUGAUCAAGUUAUUUCAUCUGAAAAAUUGAGUUGACUGCAGGUAACUGAAACUGCGGAAAGUGAAACUGCAGAUAAGAGGGACCACUGUAAAUAAGUGACAUGAAUGAUACUGCAAAGGACCAUAGCCUAACCAGCCAAGCAAACUGGAAGUACCUUUAGACUCACGCUUUGCCAAGCUCAGUUCCAGAAUCACAUGAUGAAAAGAAUGAUGGAAAGAAAAUGUUUGUGAUAUUAAAAUUAAGGAAA